GGCCGGAGGGCGUACUUCUCGUCCACAUUUCGUAGUCGUCGGGGGCACUGAACCUGGGGUUGUCUCACUUGAACACGGGGGUUGGCGACAUCUUCACCUCCAGCAACGGCAUUUUCUGGCAAUCUUUCUUCAUCUUGAAACGUGGUAUCGACAUCCGCUGGCCAUCUAUUCCAUUGACGUAUAAGAGUAGAAUGACGAUGGAAUUUCAACUGAUGACGAUUCCUUCUGAUUACCGAUCCUCCUGGUAGGACCACCUGGUAUGACCUUCCAUUCAUUUGCCUCUUGACUUGUCCUGGAGUUCGCCAUUGUUUCUGAUCUGCAUUCCAUACAAGAACAUAAUCUCCUGGAAGUAGCUGUGGGAGUGUACGAACGCCUCGAUGUCGGUUGUAAGUUGAUGCUUGAUCUGUUUUGCUUUGAAUGUCUCGAGACACGACGGCAUCUCUGGAUAUAGUCUCAGGCUGGAGAUGGCCUGGAGCAGACGGUAGCGUGUUGCGCAAUCGGCAUCCCAUCAGCAAUUGAGCUGGCGAGAUCCCUGUGCUGCUAUGCGGUGUCGUUCGAUACGCCAGUAAGGCCUGCUGUGGAUCUUCCCGAGUUACCGCAGUUUUCUUCAGAAUAUCUUUAACCGUUUGUACCGUGCGUUCCGCUAGCCCAUUCCCUUGGGGGUACCGUGGAGACGAUGUAGUGUGCCUAAAUCCGUAACGACGGGAGAACUGGCGGAAUUGUUCAUUGGCAAACUACGGCCCGUUAGCGCUGACAACCUCCUGCGGUAUUCCAUUUCUGGAGAAUAUCCCUUUUAGACUUUCAAUAACGGUUGCAGCUUUAAACGGAUAGACGUUGCAGUUCCGGAAAUCGCGAGUAGUAGUCGACCACGACUAAGUAAUUGCAAUUCUCAAUUGAAAACAAGUCCAUUGCGAUUCGCUCCCAUGAACGACCGGGCAAUGUUGACGAUUGGAGAGGUUCCUUGCGCAGCUGGUUUUGGUACUGGGCGCAUGCUUCACAUUUUGAAACUGCUCGUUCUAGUUGACUGUUCAUCCCCGGCCACCAGACAACUUCACGAGCUCGUGUUUUGGUUUUGACGAUGCCCAAGUGACCUUCAUUCGCGAGGUUGAUAACAUGGCUGCGCAAGGAUUUUGGAAUCACUAUUUGAGAACCUCUGUACGGAUGAAUGCAGCAUGCCUAAAAUGGUAUACGACUUUGUUGACAUGAAAAUUGAAGACAUACACAAAGACAGUGUCAAAGAUAUGAUUGGCAUUGUGAAGAGUGUGUCAGAUAUUAUUCAGAUUACAGCGAAGUCAAGCGGACGUCUAGUAAACUAUAACUCAUUGUAUUGUCAGAAUUGUAGGAAUUGAGUAAAUUAUGUGUAGAUAAGUUGUUGAUUGUUACAGUCUGCUUAGCGAGAUUGUAAUGUCUUCAGAGGUGUUUGUGUCUGUGUAUGUGCAUAUCUGUCUGUGUGUCUGUAGCUUCGCUUAGCCAGACCCUUUCCGCCGUGUCAUCUUUCCCGGUGAAAUUACGAAAUUACUAGUGUGUCUGUAACACAAUAUCUAUUG